GGUAAGCCAAUCCCAGAAACCCUAUCUCAGUCCGGAUUGGAGUCUGCAACUCGACUCCAUGAAGUCGGAAUCGCUAGUAAUCGCAGAUCAGCAUUGCUGCGGUGAAUACGUUCCCGGGCCUUGUACACACCGCCCGUCACACCAUGGGAGUUUGUUGCACCAGAAGCAGGUAGCUUAACCUUCGGGAGGGCGCUUGCCACGGUGUGGCCGAUGACUGGGGUGAAGU
rnacentral:rRNA from 1 species